CCUUGUGUUGCCUAUUGCCUGCUCUCAUGCCUGAGUUUCCACAGCUUUGCCAUCAUCUUUUGAUUCUCACUGCUCUGAUUGGUGAUGCAGACAGAAUGAAAUAAUAAAAGAGAUUCCAAAAUGAAACCCAGCAACAAUUUACAGGAUGUGGAAAAGAAAUGUUAAUUCCAGAAAGCACCAGGACCCAAGACAGGAGAAAGUAUGCAUGGCGCAGCCAGAUAAGGUUUUACCAUAACAAGUAGCAGCAUGUCCACUUCUAACGCUGCUGUUCCUGUGGCUGGUGAUGAUAACAAUGGAGAAUCACAGACUUGGGAGGUGGAGAAAGUCAAGAAUCCCAUCACGCAUAUUAAAUCUUCACAACCACAGUUGGUGAGAUGUAUGGAGAACUUGAAUUCAGGAAAUUAAGCAUCUUGCUACGGAUUAUGCAGAUGAUAUGCAUACAGCAUGCUUCUGAGGCUGAGGCUAGGCUGCAGAAGAUGCUCUUCUGGGCUCAAGCACAGCUUGACAUUGAUUCUGCCACCUGUCCUGAGACCUAAUUUUUUUUUUUCUUCAGACUAGCUGCUCAACCAUCAAUGAGUCCCCAACUUCCUCAUCAGUAAAAUGGGGGUUGUUACACUCAUCACAACAGAUAAUUGAAGAAUGAAGAAAGGAUGGGGAGUUGCACAGGGGAUAAAAGUGCCUGCUGUGCAAGCCUGGUGGUGUCAUCGGUAUCCAUGUAAAAGCUGUAUGCAGUAGCUCAAAUGUCUCUAAUCCCAGAGUGCCUAAAAGAAAUAGGAGACUUUAUCUUGA